AGUCUUGUAUGAUUGCAGCCGCUUUCUUUGGCAAUAUGCGCUAUGCUGACCAUAGUUUGAUGAUGAAUGAGAAUACGAGAACU
rnacentral:snoRNA from 1 species